GGGGUAGUAGAGAGGUGUAAGAGAUGGGUCUGGGGUAGUAGAGAGGUGUAAGAGAUGGGUCUGGGGUAGUAGAGAGGUGUAAGAGAUGGGUCUGGGUUAGUAGAGAGGUGUAAGAGAUGGGUCUGGGGUAGUAGAGAGGUGUAAGAGAUGGGUCUGGGGUAGUAGAGAAGUAAAAGCGAUGGGUCUGGGGUAGUAGAGAGGUGUAAGAGAUGGGUCUGGGGUAGUAGAGAGGUGUAAGAGAUGGGUCUGGGGUAGUAGAGAGGUGUAAGAGAUGGGUCUGGGGUAGUGGAGAGGUGUAAGAGAUGGGUCUGGGGUAGUAGAGAGGUAAAAGCGAUGGGUCUGGGGUAGUAGAGAGGUGUAAGAGAUGGGUCUGGGGUAGUAGAGAGGUGUAAGAGAUGGGUCUGGGUAGUAGAGAGGGGUAAGAGAUGGGUCUGGGGUAGUAGAGAGGUGUACGUGAUGGGUCUGGGGUAUCAGAGAGGUGUAAGAGAUGGUCUGGGGUAGUAGAGAGGUGUAAGAGAUGGGUCUGGGUAGUAGAGAGGUGUAAGAGAUGGGUCUGGGGUAGUAGAGAGGGGUAAGAUAUGGGUCUGGGGUAGUAGAGAGGUGUACGUGAUGGGUCUGGGGUAUCAGAGAGGUGUAAGAGAUGGUCUGGGGUAGUAGAGAGGUGUAAGAGAUGGGUCUGGGUAGU
ensembl:lncRNA